rnacentral:lncRNA from 1 species
CAUCAACCUCUGUUCUGUGUGCAUAUCCAUGAACAUGGAAAUUCAGUGUUAGGAGAUGUAGACCCCAAAUUGUUUAUGAUACCAACAAACAACACCAGGUCUCACCUUCAUCCUCUUCUGAACUCUCAACAAACAAGCAAAUAUGUUCGAAGCAACUUCUCAGUGGUAAUAGUCUUUCAAAUUAUAAGAAUAUUGAAGUUGUGUUCAGUAAAAGUGUUAGGCACAUAACCAAGUUCAGUGCUUACGUUCAUGUGUUCAGCCCUGCAGUAUGACAUAGAAGUUGUGGCUGAUUAAAUUGAACUAACUUAGUUACCAUGUCAGAAUUACAUCAUUGCUCAGUGCCUUUCGAGCUUGUUCCAGGUAAACACAGCUCCCUCUUCUAGCUGGUGUUGUUUUAAAAAGCAAACACAAAAUGUGAUGUCUACAAAAGUCUUGUUGGCUAAUGUGAUCAACAGGGAAUAUUAUUUCUCACUGAUGUUUAGGUAGUAGAUGGUUAAACAUAUGGGAGAUCUUUAGGACUUACCUGAAUUUUGUUCUAAAUGACACGUAUCUGUGUACCAUCAGUGUUCAUUACUGUUGCAGAUAACAGAGGUGGAACAUGUGAAUGCAUUUAUAGCUGUGGUUGCACAAGUCUGUUCUAAAAUGCCAUAUUCAGUUGCCCAAUGCUUCUGAAUUAAUAUGUGGUGGUUGUGUUUUUUUUUUUCACUCAGAAGUAUAUUUUCCCACCUGAACAAUAUGAGCAAAAACCCCGGGUUUUGAAGUCGAGUGAUACCAGCAAGGUUCCAUCUAGUUUGUGUGGUUAUUUGAAAGGGAGGGGGAACCCACAAAAGAAUGUUGUUUAUACACCCAACCUCCACCCCUUCCCCCCUUCUUUCUUUAUUCUUUUGAAAAUCUUUUUAGACUACAGCAGACUUUUGGAUAUAAAUAAUUCAUUUCAUGUUGUAUGUAUUUUUAAAACAAACCUUUCAACUGCGGAUAGAUUUUAGUGUUGACUGUUACGCUUCU